rnacentral:rRNA from 1 species
CUAUACAUGCAGUCGAGCGAACGGACGAGGGUGCUUGCACUCUCUGAUGUUAGCGGCGGGCGGGUGAGUAACACGUGGGUAACCUACCUAUAAGACUGGGAUAACUUCGGGAAACCGGAGCUAAUACCGGAUAAUAUUUAGCUUCGCAUGAAGCAAUAGUGAAAGACGGUUCUGCUGUCACUUAUAGAUGGACCCGCGGUGUAUUAGCUAGUUGGUGAGGUAACGGCUCACCAAGGCAACGAUACAUAGCCGACCUGAGAGGGUGAUCGGCCACACUGGGACUGAGACACGGCCCAGACUCCUACGGGAGGCAGCAGUAGGGAAUCUUCCGCAAUGGACGAAAGUCUGACGGAGCAACGCCGCGUGAGUGAAGAAGGUUUUCGGAUCGUAAAACUCUGUUGUAAGGGAAGAACAAGUACGUUAGUAACUGAACGUACCUUGACGGUACCUUACCAGAAAGCCACGGCUAACUACGUGCCAGCAGCCGCGGUAAUACGUAGGUGGCAAGCGUUAUCCGGAAUUAUUGGGCGUAAAGCGCGCGUAGGCGGUCUCUUAAGUCUGAUGUGAAAGCCCCCGGCUCAACCGGGGAGGGUCAUUGGAAACUGGGAGACUUGAGUGCAGAAGAGGAGAGUGGAAUUCCAUGUGUAGCGGUGAAAUGCGCAGAGAUAUGGAGGAACACCAGUGGCGAAGGCGGCUCUCUGGUCUGUAACUGACGCUGAGGUGCGAAAGCGUGGGGAUCAAACAGGAUUAGAUACCCUGGUAGUCCACGCCGUAAACGAUGAGUGCUAAGUGUUGGGGGGUUUCCGCCCCUCAGUGCUGCAGCUAACGCAUUAAGCACUCCGCCUGGGGAGUACGGUCGCAAGACUGA